rnacentral:rRNA from 1 species
UACGAAGGGGGCUAGCGUUACUCGGAUUGACUGGGCGUAAAGGGCGCGUAGGCGGUUUGUAAGUCUGACGUGAAAUCCCCGGGCUCAACCUGGGAAUUGCGUUGGAGACUGCAAGGCUGGAGUCUGGCAGAGGGGGGUAGAAUUCCACGUGUAGCAGUGAAAUGCGUAGAGAUGUGGAGGAACACCGAUGGCGAAGGCAGCCCCCUGGGUCAAGACUGACGCUCAUGCACGAAAGCGUGGGGAGCAAACAGG